rnacentral:rRNA from 1 species
ACUGUCAAGAAAAGUCUCUAGCGAGGUUAAAGGGAGCAGUACCGCCAACCGACACAGUAGGAUGAGGAGUGUAUCCGAAGGCAAGCGAGCGAACUGUUGUUAAGGAACUCGGCAAAAUGACCCCGUAACUUAGGGAUAAGGGGUGCCACCAUCAGGUGGCCGCAGAGAAUAGGCCCAAGCGACUGUUUACCAAAAACAUAGGUUUCUGCU